rnacentral:lncRNA from 1 species
CCAUUAUCAGAAAUGUUUGGGAUGUAAUUACAUUUGCAGUUAAUUUCUGUUGAAGUUUUUCGGAAUGUUGACCUAUAACGGCAUAUAAAGAUAACUGACUAAAGGCCAGCGUUCCAUCAGUAGAUGUUCAUUUAGGACCUGAGUAUAUUGCCUUGUGCCACGCCUUGAUUUAGGAGUUCAAUUUAGUCUCCGACUUCCUGUAGCCUGUAAUCUAGUGGGAGAUGGUGUUAUUAAAAACCUGACUUUAGAGUCAGUUGAUCAGGAUUAAAUUACGAGAGCCUUCAAAUACUGGCUGUGACCUCUUCGCCCCAAUAAAAAGGCUACUUUCACUAUCUUGUCAUAGUAGGGAUUCAUUUCCUGACUACGAAAUCAAGAAACAUAAAGAAACCUUCUAUAAGCUGAAUAGGGGUGACUGUGGGUGCAGGAUUGGAAAUGACAAAGCUGCCUCCAUCUUGUUUCCUGUGACAGAGCUGAAUUGUUUGGGCUAACAAUAAACUCUAAAAGGCAGAUACUGUUUUAUAGCAAAAUAUUUGCAUAUAAUUGAUGCCAUUUUCUUCUGAUUACAGAUAGGAUUUCUGAAGGUCUUUUUCAUUUUAUAGUCUACAAUUGAAUUUUAAAAAACAACAUUUCACCAAUGUGGGAAAGCCAAAGAUGAUUGGCCAUAUAUAGACUUAACAGACCCUAAGAACAAACCUAAAAUAGUAGUUCGAUAUGUUUAUUUUUAUUUAGUAUUUAAGAAAGAAUGCUGAUCUUGACAUUUGAGUCUUAGUCAUGUACUCUUCGGAAGUCACACAAUCUCUCACUGAUCCUGUUUCCUCCUCUGUCAUACAAUGGAAAUAAUAUCAUUCAAUGUCACAGAGAUCUGUCAUAUGAGGAAACUAAUUCUACCUUGCAAUCUCACAGAGUUUUAUGAGGGUCUAAUGGAGUCAUACAUGUGACUGUGCUUUGAAAACAGUAAAGAAUAUACAAAUUUAUUUAUACAAGCAUACAUCCCCUGGAACCGUGUGGUAAGCUCUGUGCUAGGUGCUAACCAUGCAAAGAUUAAUGAGAUGGCCCCCUUUCUGCCCAGUCUUGCUUGGGAGACAGUGAGCAAACCAUAAGCUUCUGUGCAGUACUCUAAGCACUAUUAAAAGGAAGUGCCCUCGGUGGCCAGAGGUUGCAAAAACAACUUUGGUUUUUUACCGUUAUUCACAUGCCCUGAAUUAAGCAACAGAAAGAAGUUGAGAUGAGCGCAAUGAUACCAGAGUGUGUUACAAGCUUUUGCACAAAGUUAUUAAACCUCACUCGGUAACUGAGGAUAAAAGAACAUACAAAUCCCUUGACUUCUAAUGUAGUUAUUUUACAACAUCCUUUAUUAGGGAAUAUGUAUUUAAGCAGCUUGAUUCAUCAGCCCAAAAGUCAUAAAUUGUACCCAUUCCAACACAAAUCCCUGAUUGUGGUGUCAGUGAAGGUAGAGUUUUCUUUGUCUUUUUGUUUCCUAAUGCAUCCUCAGGACUAAACAUUUCAUAGCAUAUUUCUGGACUUCUGCCUUGAGCUUCCUAUUUGAAAUUUGCUCUGUCAUUCUUUCUCUGUGUUGACUCUGUAGGGUUGUUGUUGUUUUUAAAUCAAGAUUAAAAGAGAAAUUAAAAGGAAGCAUAAAUCACCAUAAAUUCAUCUGUUAUUAUUUUUAGUAGUGGAAAGUUCAUUCCCUUUAGCUUAUGUCUACACAGGUGUAGAAAAUUAAUAAAAAUUCAUUAUCCAUUAGAAUUUGUUUUUAUGAAUAAAUACUAUCUCUCCAAUAAUAUUUGUGAAUUUCGUUUUGAGACAUGCAGGGAUAUACUUGAUCUAGUCACAUGCCAGUUGCUUUGCUGUGUAUUUACCUGAGAAUUGUUAAAAUAUUUGUAAUUAUGCUUUUAUCUUAGCUAUUUGGUUACAAAAUCACUACACUCUUUCAUUAAAUGAUAUGUAGAAAUUUAGUUUAAUGGUAACUAUAUUUUCAUG